UUCUGCAGCAAACCACAUUGAAUUCCUUUCAUCAAAGCAUUAAUCUACUGAAUACUUUUGUUCUGUCCUUCUGUCCACCAAAAUAAAACCUGAUAUUUACCUAGAAAAAUUAUUAAUACACUUUUACACUGCUUUCUCAGCUGU